rnacentral:misc_RNA from 1 species
AAGUCGUAACAAGGUUUCCGUAGGUGAACCUGCGGAAGGAUCAUUAACAAAUCUAUGAGCGAAAGCUCGUCAACCUUUGUGAAUUGGGUUGUAUAGUUGGUAACAAAUAUACAAUUUCGUUGGGGUCCCUUUGUGUAAUAGAAAGAUUAUUUCUAAAGAUUUUCUGAAGAUUAUUUCUAAAGAAUAUUUCUAAAAGAAUAUUUUGAAAGAUUUAAUUUUUUCUAUUGCAUAUAUAUAUUAACAUUGUCUGAUUAUAGAUUGAAGUCGUAAGAUUUCAAAUAAAAAUACAACUUUUAACAAUGGAUCUCUAGGCUCUU